GAAUAUCGCGCGGGGAGCUGAAAAUUCGGCUGAGAAAGAACCAUGUUCUGACCCACAACCUGAUCUGGGUAAUGCCAGCGUAGGGAUUGCGAUUAACUUCGUGU
rnacentral:ncRNA from 1 species